rnacentral:rRNA from 1 species
UCCCAGACUCCUACGGGAGGCAGCAGUGGGGAAUAUUGCACAAUGGGGGGAACCCUGAUGCAGCGACGCCGCGUGGGUGAAGGAGUAUUUCGGUAUGUAAAGCUCUAUCAGCAGGGAAGAAGAUGACGGUACCUGACUAAGAAGCCCCGGCUAACUACGUGCCAGCAGCCGCGGUAAUACGUAGGGGGCAAGCGUUAUCCGGAUUUACUGGGUGUAAAGGGAGCGUAGACGGCGAUGCAAGCCAGAUGUGGAAGCCCGGGGCUCAACCCCGGGACUGCAUUUGGAACUGUGUGGCUGGAGUGUCGGAGAGGCAGGCGGAAUUCCUAGUGUAGCGGUGAAAUGCGUAGAUAUUAGGAGGAACACCAGUGGCGAAGGCGGCUUACUGGACUGUAACUGACGUUGAGGCUCGAAAGCGUGGGGAGCAAACAGGAUUAGAUACCCGUGUA